rnacentral:lncRNA from 1 species
ACUCUGACCCUUAGGCUGUAUUCACAGUAGACCCUGGUUUCACUUUUCAUGGUUUUAGUUAUCUAUAGACAACCACCACCUGAAAAUAGGAAAAAAAAUUAUGUAUAGGAUUUGGUACUACCUGAGGUUUCAGGCAUCCACUGGGGGUCUUGGAAUGUAUCCCCUAUGGUUAAGGGAGAAUGACUACAAACCAACGAACUGCUACUUAGCAAGAGGAAGGCAUCAGGGCAGUAGCUCCUCUGGGAAUAGUAAAGCACUUCUUUCUCCUGCUGCCCUGUGAAGAAGGACGUGUUUGCAUCCCCUUCCACCAUGAUUGUGAGUUUCCUGAGGCCUUCCCAGCCAUGUGGAACUGUGAGUCAAUUAAACCACUUUCCUUUAUUAAUUACCCAGUCCCAGUUAUUUCUUCACAGCAGUGUGAGAACGGACUAGCACAGUUUCCUUCCCUGGUUUGCAAAGUCUCGGUCUCCUCCAUGGUCAAGUAUCUGGUAACUCACCAGACUCUGAGUUUCCUUUCCACAUCAGAAUCUUGACUUGUUUUCUCAAGAUACAUGUGCUCGUUAAUUUCAGGUGUCAAAGUGACUGGAUUUAGGGAUGUCCAGUAGCUGGUGAAGCACUGUUUCUGUGUUUGUGUGUAAGGGUGUUUCCAUGGGUCAGUGAACUGGGAGAGGAAAAUCCCCUCAAUGCUGGCACAACAACCAGACAGCAGGGGGCCAGGCCGGCACAAAUAGGCAGAAGAAGGGGGACUCACUCUGUUUUCUCUCUCCUUUCCAGAGCAGGAUAUUUUUUCUCUUCCUGCCUUUGGACAUCAGACUCCCAGGUCCUUUGGCUUUUGGACUCUGGGACUUGUCCCAGCAACAUUCCAGGGGGUCCUUGAGCCUACAUUGUUGGCUUUUCUCAUUCUGAGGCUUUGGACUUGGACUGGGCCACGCUACCAGCUUCUCUGGUUCUCCGGCCUGCAGUUGUCCUAACCUGGGACUUCUCCACCUCUGUGACCAUCAUGGAUGGACUUCUGUCCGAAGAAAUGGCUUCAGAUUCUGAGUGGACUCAGAAAGAAAAGAUGUGGUUUAUGUGCAGCAGGAAUAAAAUAAUAGUUAUAGCUCCCGGAAUCUUUUUUAAAUUUUUUAAAAUUGUGGCAAAAUACAUGUGACAUAGAAUUUACCACCUGUACAUUUUUAAGAGUACAGUUCUGUGGCAUUAAGUACCUUCCUAUUGUUGUGCAGCCAAUCUCCAGAACUUUUUCAUCAUGCAAAAUGUAAACUCUAUCUAGAUUCAUUAAACAGCAACUCCAAAUUCCCUUCCCCCUGCCCUGGCAACCGCCAUUCUAUUUUCUCUUUCUAUGGGUUUAACUACUUUAGCUACCUUAUACAAGUGGAAUCCUGUGGUAUUUGUCCUUUUGUAAUUGGCUUAUUUCACUUAGCAUAAUGUCAUUAAGGCGCACCCAUAUUGUAGCAUGCGUCAGACUUUCCUUCCUUUCUAAGGCUACAUGAUAUUCCAUUAUGUGUAUAUACCACAUUUUGUUCAUUCAUUCAUUUAUCGAUGGAUAUUUGGGUUGCUUUCACAUCUUGGCUAUUGUGAAUAAUGCUACUAACAACAUGGGUAUAUAACUGACUCCUUUCUGAUUUGAUAUAAAUAGGCACAUUUUCUGGGCCAAAAAAUUGAUCCUAAGUUCAACCUCCAGUAGCCCCAGUUGCCGUGGCAAUGCAGGCCCCUGUGACAGAUAAACUAGCCUUCUCCUUGAGACUGGUGUUCUUCCUCCUAGGAAGGAGGUUGGAAACAAUCUAAUAUUUUUUACUGUGCUCAAUGUAUCAGGUUCUGUUCAGGUCGCUUUUACUUUCUAUUUCUAAUAACUCCUUGAAAUAAGUAUUAAUCUUUGCAUUUUACAGAUGAGGAAACUGAGGCUGAGAGUUUAAUAAUAUGCUUACAGUCUGAAAAUAAUAAACAGUGAAAUUGUAUUAAAAUCUAAGCCUUUUUUUGCUCUAAAUGUCAUGUACUUUUUCCCACUACAUAGACAAGCAAUAGAAAUAACUCUUCCUCCUUGCAUUUAUAGAGUCAAAUCACACUGCUUAAGGGGCAUCAUUCUGCAUGCCAUGUUUCUACCUCUCAUCUGCACUGCCCCUUCCGCUCUCUCAGUCAUUCCCUAUUAUGUGCUUAGUCCCAUCCUAGACACGAUGGGAGACUGAGGUGUAAAAGGAAGCACCAACUAUAAGAAGCUCACAACCCAGUUGGGAGAAAACACAGAAUUUCAAGAGAAUGAGUCUCUACAUGCACGUAGGAGUGGAGUCAGGGAACACAAAUUCUGAUUCCAAUGCCAUCCAAUAUGGAUACUCUGCUAAUCAUUUUGCCUCUUCGUCUCUAUUUAUAAAUCUGGAAAAUGAGGUCAUUAGAUUGUGUUUACCUUAGACUCUAAAUUUCUGAUAUGUUAUUGCAUACCUACACACAGAGGUGACUUCAGACAAAAUGCAGAAGUACUCAAUGCCAUAGUAUCCUCAUUUGUAAAAUAGAAGGUGAAUAUGUCUCUUGCAAGAUUUGGGAGGAAAUUAGAUGCAAUACUUCCAAAAGUGAUAAUAUAAUCUUGAAAUUCUGUUUUCCAUUUGCAAGAAAAACAUCCAAGGAUUUUAUGGACGUCCUGUGGUGACAAGGGGUAACAGAUUUUAUUCAGUUGUAGAGUGGAAACAAGCCUUGAAAAUCAUGAAGUUUUGUGGUCCCCAAACCUAGCUGAUCAUCAGGAUCACCUGGGGAUACAGAUUCCUAGUCUAGCUUCCAGAAAAAUCCUGAUUCAGUAGGUAAACCUGUGGUACAUAGUUCUCCAACUACACUUGGACUCUAACUCCUACAGCUAUGGCCCCCUUUUAGUCUUGCUUUCACCUCACACCAAGUGACAACCAUACUUAAAAAGUAGUUUUCUGAGCAAUUCCACUUCUGGGUAUAUACACAAAAGAACUGACAGAAAGACUCAAACAGAUAUUUAUGCACCCAUGUUUGCAGUAGCCUUAUUCACAGUAGCCAAAACCAUCCAAGUGUCCAUUGACAGUUCAAUAGAUAGACAAAAUGUGGUAUAUACACACACAAUGAAAUACUAUUCAGCCUCAAAAUGGAAGGACGUUCUGACACAUGCUAUAACACAGAUGAACCUUGAGGACAUCAUGCUCAAUGAAAUAAGCCAGUCACGAAAGGACAAAUAUCUGAUUCUACUUUUAUGAGGUACCUAGAAUAGGAAAAUUAAUAGAGACAGAAAGUUAAAUGGUGGUUGCUAGGGACCGGAGAGGAAAGAAUGGAGGGUUAUUGUUUAAUGGGCAUGGAGUUUCAGUUUAGGAAGAUGAGAAAACUGCUAUGGAUGGUGACGAUGAGUGCACAACAGUUUGAAUAUGUGUAAUGCUACUGAACCGUACUCUCAAAAAUGACUCAAAUGGUACAUAUUAUGUAUAUUUUACCACAAAAGAAUAAAAAAUUUAAAAAUGAACUAAACUGUAAAAAAAAUAGUUUUCUGGCUGGAGGAAUGAAGAGAUUUAUUUUGAGCUUCACCACCAACCAGGUUCUCUUCUAAACAAUGAGGAGAUGAUUUAUUCCCUCCAAGAGCCCAUGCACCUUUUAGGGAGCAUGUAUCAUUCAUUGAAAUGCAUCAAUGAAUUCCACCUACAAGGGGAAAACCACCUUGAGAGCAGCCUGCAAAAGGUUUCCAUGGAGUCAAAAAAAGGAGCAACCAAUGCUUCCAGGGAAGCCUGGGGAUAGAGGUUGAUAUGGUUUGGCUGUGUCCCCACCCAAAUCUCAUCUUGAAUUCCCACGUGUUGUGGGAGGGACCCAGUGGGAGGUAGCUGAACCAUGGGGGCAGGUCUUUCCUGUGCUAUUCUGAUAGUGACAUGAGAUCUGAUGGUUUUAUAAGAGGGAGUGUCCUUGCACAAGCUCUUUCUCUGUGCCUGCUGCCCUCAAUGUAAGACGUGACUUGCUCCUCCUUGCCUUUCACCAUGAUUGUGAGGCCUCCCCAGCCACGUGGAACUGUAAGUCCAUUAAACCUCUUUUUUUAAUAGAUUGCCCAUUCUCGGGUAUGUCUUUACUAGCAGUGUGAAAACGGACCAAUACAGAGGUAGUGGAGGAAACUGAAGGCCUCUCAGAGAAAAUAACACAGAAACUGUUGACUCUUCUCCAAAG